rnacentral:lncRNA from 1 species
CCAAUCUCGAUUAUCCGACUUGGAUGUUGAUCAACCUUCUUCCGAAACUUGCCGACCAAGCUACCAUGAAAAUGAGUAGCUAAGUCCUCCAUUUGUCAAGGUUAGAUGUAGGUGAUUACUAGCUUUGUGUGUAAAUGUAAGGAUCUUCAUGUGUAAACUCUUUAAUGGUGAAUAUAUGAUGAAAACUUUGUUUCUAUUUAAAA